UUUUGAUUGGAAGGUUGCUGCCGUUGAGUCUAUGACCAAGGACUAUGAGGCUCUGCUUCAGACGGAAACAAACUUCAGAUUUCCUCGUGUGUGUUCACAUCUCUGAAAACUGUGGAAAAGAAGUCUGGCUGCUGACAGGAGAGGGGACCUGCCACUCAAGUAAUGGGUAUUGACAGCUAAACUCACUGUGAAGAAUAAAUAGAGCAGUGAACCCAGUGAACCCAGGGAGCACCCGAGGCCUCCUCUUCUGUCAAGAUGAAGCCACACUCAGGCUUGACCGAAAUUCACUUCCAUCACUCAUAACAGGUGAUAUGACUGCACCUAUACCAUAAGCCGGGGGGUCUCAGGCAAGCUUCACUGGACGAUGUGGAUCACAACGUGAGAGUACAGUGCCUGCUGUCACCACUUCCUUUGACUUUUGGAAACCCACUCACACUGCUUUGACCACUGCCAUUUCCUUUUGAUUUGUAGUAAUGAGUUCAAGAGGUGGAACAUAGUUAGCAGGUUUGGCAGAAACCCAUCACAGCAAUUGACAAAUCCGAAAAAGGACCGCAACUGUGACAUGUUCUUCAGCCUUUGGGCAGCCACCACUACUUGAAUUUUCUCGGCACACUUGUGAAAUUCUUGUGCGGCAAUGGUGUGCCCAUAGUAAGUGAUGCUUGGUUUUAAGAAUUCACGGUUGCUGCAUUGUGCUCUGAGCCCAUAAUCAUCUGAUCUUUUUAAUACUGACUUGAGGUUUUGGCGAUGCUCCUUGUCACCGAUAACAAUGAUAUCAUCCAGGUAACACCGAGUGCCUGGGCUGCUUUGCAGCAGCUAGUCUGUGGCUUUCUGCUGGAGAACAAUGCAGAUGCUACUCCAAAAAUAAAUCUAUUAUAGCGAUAAAGCCCUUUAAAUCACCAGAAACAACUUGUGAGAAGUUGUGGUGAGAAACAUUUUGAACUCUUCUUCCAUCUCCAUCUUUAGUUAGGCCUCAGCUAAGUCCAUUUUACUUAAGCAUUUCCCUCCAGAAAGGUUUGCGAAGGUGUCUGCUAUCCUGAGCAGAAGAUAUUGAUCUACGUCCUGUCCUGGGUUGAAAGUGAACUUAAUAUCAACACAGUUCCUGAUGCAUCCAUGCUUCUUGGCUACUGGGACCACUCACCUUGGAAAGAAUUCCUUCCGCCUCCAUGUCAUCUAGUUCACCAGCUACUCUAUCGAGGGUGGUAUAAGGAACUGGACGGGCUUUGUAAAACUUGGAUGUGGUGUUUUCAUUUAACGCUAUUUUACCAUUGCUAUAUUUGAGUUUUCCAAUGCCUAAUGUUAUACUGUGACAUCAUCCUGCACCUUUCUUAAUUUGCUUUCAGUUGACUCUGUUGCAGGGGAUGUGCCAUGCAAAUGGUGGAUAGAUCAAUCAAGUUGUAGUUGUCUCAACCAAUCAUGGCCCCAAAAUGGUGGCCCUGUUUUUACCACCUAGAAGCCAAUAUGGCUUUUUGAUACUUCUACUUCACUGUUACAAAUGUUAUUCCCACAAGAACUAUCUUUUCUCCAAGCUAAGUUCUUAGUUGGAUAUCUGCAGGCUUCAGUUCAGUAUCUUUCAGUUGCCAUUCAGACUCAUUUUGUGGGAUGACUGAAAUAGCCGAGCCAAUGGCCAUCUCCAUUUUAAUUAAUUUGCCAUUCACUUCUGGUGUAAGCCAUAUUACUUCACUGUUGUUAGUUUUCACAUUGUAAAUCUCAAGGCUAGUCUGUCCUGUGUUACACUCAUCGUUAUCAGAUUUUAUCAACAACAUGCAGUUUAUUGCUCUUUUUGAAACUGCAGCUUGACCUUUUAUCUUUAUCUCUCCCUUGUGCAGUCCACUUAUUUUUUCCUGCCCCACAUACUCUUUGUGUGUGUCUUACUUUGUUGCAUUUUCUGCAAGUUUGGCCUUUAAACCUGCAUUUGUCUGGUGUCUGUGAGCCCCUGCCAUAAUGGCAACAUACUUUUCCCCUAAUCAGGCAGGUUUCUGUUUAGUCAUUGAAAUUUUGUUCAAUCACACUUUCAUAACUGAUUGUAUCAAUUGCAUUUCUGUCUGCAGUUUCCAUUGUUUGAUUAGUGAUUUCAACUGCUCAUGUAGAUGUGUGUUGCACUUUGGUUAGGAGUUUUGUAUGCAUUCUUGCAAGAUUCUACAAACAAAAUGAUAUCUCAGAGCAUCAUUAAGCUCAUCACCGAACAGACAGUUCAUAGACAAUUUCUUCAAUUCAGCCACUUAAGCUGAAAUGGACUCCCUUUCCUUUUGAUUCUACUUAUAAAACCUAAAGCAUUCUGCAAUUAACAAUGGUUUUGGUUCUAAAUGUCUCUGCAUUACAUUCACAGUAUCAGCAAAGCUCAUUUCAGCUGGUCUGAUUGGAGCAAUUAAAUUUCUAAACAAACAGCUAUCAUACUCUAUAACAUGAGCAUUUGUUUCUUAUCAGCUAGUCCAUUUGCUUGAAAAUGCUGCUCACUUUAUUAAGAAUACAUCAUGCAGCUAUCCGUUGUGCAAUCGAUGCACAUCUAACUUUCUGAUGUAGCCAGCCAAUUCAGCUUUAAUUUUACCAUAGUUAUCAACCAGUACUCACUGUUUAUGAACCCAUGGCUGUACAUGUUGUUUGUUAAUUUCAUUCAUUUUCUACCUUUUCUUUAACUCAACCAUCUCCCCCCUUCCGAAAGAAACACAUGCUGCACUUUAUUUUAACUCAAACCUCUCUCUCUCUCUCACUCUCUCAAAAAUAUGCUGCACUUCAACAGGUAGGUAGUCAACUUGGGUUUGUUUUAAAACUUUCUCGUUGCCACAGUAAGGUUUUGUAACUCCCGAAACUAAUCAAACAAAAACAGGGGAGAUGCAUGUCUACUUAGUUUCUUCUUUAGGGAAGAACUCAAGUAUGAUGUGGUGGCUUAAUGACGUAUGCCAUUCAAGCACUUUUACAUAUAACCCAUAAUGAAUUGUGUAAACAAGAUUGCUUAAUCAAUGUAUUUACAAUAUUACUGAAAUAUUGAAUUGAAUUAAUCUUUCCCCAUUGUGGGCUUUAAAAAAAGAAUUAGCACAAUAUCUGAAAAUGGUUCUCCUUUGAGGUUCCAUUAGAGAUUGCUCGUCACUCAGUAGACCUCAUUGCCUUGAAAUAUUAGCCCCUCAGCACUCAUAGCAUCUGUUCAGUACAUAAGUGUAAGUUCUUAAAAUGAGGUGUCACUCAUCAGGAAAUAACAGACUAAUAACAUAUCGUUUAUGUAAUUGCUGUACAUCUGUUUAUGAGGAAAUAUGAUGUAUCAUUUGAGCUGUCCUGGAGAGAUAGCAUUGUACUGUCGCAUGAGCAAUGUUUGGAGAUGGGGAGAGUCAUUUAGUUUACUUCCUUGAGCAAACAGAUCCUCAGUUUCCUCACUUGCACACUCCAGACAGUUUGGUUUGGCAACAUCUCCUUCACAGUCACCAUCAGCAUGCGUGCAACACAAGGCUGUGUGCUUAGCUCUAUGUCCUUCGUGCUUUAUACUUACGGCACUGAGGCCAAGUACAGCUCCACAAAACCACUGCUGCUGGCCAAAUCAAAGGUGGUGGCAAAUUGGCAUACAGAAGGGAGACUGAGAAUCUGGUUGAAUGGUGUCACAACAGCAUCACACGCAACGUCGGCAAAACCAAGGAGCUGAUUAUAGACUACAGGUGGGGAAACUGGAGCUCCAUGAGCCAGUCCUCAUCAGGGUUUCAGAAGUGGAGAAGGUCAGUAAUUUUAAAUUCCUUGGUGCUAUAUUUCUUCACUAUUCUGGUUGGUGCGACUGUAAUGAAACCCAGUUUCCCCUCGGGAUCAAUAAAGUAUGUCUGUCUGUCUGUCUGUCUGUUGUUCCACAAGAUCUGUUCGGGGACCUCCAUACAAGUGCCGUCACAAAGAAGGCACAGUAGUGCCUCCACUUUCUUUGAAGUUUACACAGAUUCGGCAUGUCAUCCAAAGCUUUGAAAAACCUUCAUAGGUUCCACAAUAGUGUAGUGAAUAGCACGAUACUAUUACAUUCCGCAAUUCAGAUUCCGACACCGUUCUGUAAGGAGUCUCUGUACAUUCUUCCCAUGGAUUAUAUGGGUUUUCUCCAGGGGACCGCCCCCCCCCCCAGUUUCCUCUCACCGUCCAAAGACGUACUGGUUAGGUCAGUUGGUCCUCGUAAAUUGUCUAGUGAUUGGGUUAGUGCUAAUCAGGUUUGUUGCUGGUUGCUGGGGCGGUGGGGCUGGAAGGGGCCCACUCCACCGAGUAUGGCUGAAUAAUUAAAUAAUAAAAGGCACGGUGGAGAGCAUCCUGGCUGGUUGCAUCACGGCCUGGCAAGCAAACACCAGUGCCCACUAAAAGAAAGGCCUACCAAGCCUAAAGGCCUCACAAAGAUAGCUUGAGGGGCAGGUAGUUUUAAGGAAGCAGAGAGGCCACAGAAGGACUUGGAGAGACUAGGAGAAUGGGGAAGGAAGUGGCAGAUGGAAUAUGUUGACAGAAAGUGUAUGGUCAUACACUUGAUAGAAGUAGUAAAGGCAGAGACUAUUUUCUAAACAGGGGUAAAAUUUAGACAUUAGAGGUGCAAAGGGACUUGGGAGUCCUCGUGCAGGACUCCUUAAGGAUUAACUUGCAAGUUCAAUCAGAGGUAAGGAAGGCAAAUGCAGUUCAUUUCGAGAGGACUAGGAUAUAAAAGAUAUAAUGCUGUGGCUUGAUAAAGAAUUGGUCAGACUGUACGUGGAGUAUUGUGAGUAUUUUUUGGGUCUCUUAUCCAAGAAAAGAUGGGCUGGCAUUGGAGAGGGUCCAGAGGAUGUUCACGAGUCUGAUUCUGGAAAUGAAAGGGUUAAGGUAUGAGGAGCAUUUGAUGGCUCUGGAGCUGUACUUGCUGGAGUUUAGAAGAAACCUAUUGAAUAUUAAAAGGCCUGGAAAGAGUGGAUGUGGAGAGGACAUUUCCUAUCGUGGGGGAGUCAAGGACCAGAAGGCACAGCCUCAUGACAGAGGGACAUUCCUUUAGCACAUUGGUUGUUCGUAGUUUCUCAUGGAUUCUAUUGUUGUUUUUGUAUCUUCUGUGAAUGCCUGCAAGGAAAUGAAUCUCAGGGUAGCGUAUAGUGACAUAUACAUACUUUGACAAUAAAUUUACAUUGAAUUUUGAAAAUGAGGGCUAUGAUUUAACAGUCUCCUUAUGAAAAUUCCCUCUAUGAGGAGUCCGUCAUUGCCCAUGUAGAUAAUGUCUCUGUUCACUCCGUUCAGAGAUGAAACAGGAAACUCAAGAGACCGCAGAUACUGGAAUCGGGGCAAUAAACGGUUGAUAAAGCUAGGUCGUUCUCAGAAGGUCUCCUUGUCCUCCUGUUGUACGUACACCUGCUAAUCCUAUCUCAGUGUCCAGGGCUCUCUGCAGAGGAACAUGGAGCAUGUGACAGUGUGUUCCCUGCACUCUUGGACUGAUGAAGGUGAUGCAUUCUCACCUAGAGGAUGUGCUCUCCACUAUUUUUCUGAUAUUAGCAAACAAUCCAGAAGCCUGUUAGCCACUGUAACUUCAGGCAGUGUGGAGCCUCUCAGUGAUGAACCAUGUAUUCACUGUCAAAAAACAAUCAUGGAAGCUUCAAGUGUCUGCCCACAGCAAUGCUGUUAUUAUCAUUAUCAUCAGCCCUCUCCUUCUGUCCUCCCACUUUCUCAGGCUUUUCCUGCUGUUGUGAGCAGGGUGGAGUGUUGGGGUUUCUCCUCCUCACUACUAGCAAAGACAAAACAGAUGACACGUGCAGAUAAGCUGCACCCAAAACACUUUGGCAGUAACUAUGUCAGAUUAAUUCAAAGGAUAUCUGGUAAUCAGGAUCAAACAUCAUUAAUUGGCACACCGAGCAGAUUUCUUAUAUCCUCUGUUCAAGUGGCUGUGGUCUCAGUGAUCUCUCAGCCCAUGGAGAGGUCUCUUCUACCCUGAGACUACACCUUCUUCACCAGUCCUUACUGCUUCCUUCCUGUUUUUCAAUACUUUGGCCAAAAUGGAUGAGGUAAAUUAAAAUAAGUGUACGAGUGUGAGCGAGAGAGAGAGAGAGAGAGAGAGAGCGAUACUGUAUCUCUAAAACACACAGCAUUAAACAUCUCCUUUGUCCUCGCAAUCUCCCUCUCCUCCAUGGAAGCCAACACAAGGAGGGCGGAGCAAAGUCAAGAUGGCACUAAACGGCCACUCCUUUGCUUGCAUCUAAAAAUGGAAAGAACAUCUUGUGGGAUUUAAUUUACAGAAAUAUGGGUUUAUGCAAAUAAUAUCACAGCUCUGUUUCUAUCUUCGA